rnacentral:sRNA from 1 species
UUAUUUGUUUACUACCACGUAUACCUCUGUAGAAGAAGGUGGAUUGUUUUUCAAACUAAGAAACAAAACCUGUUCUGAAGUGGGCCUGUAUAUGUGCAAUGGCAGAGGGUUCUAACAUUGAAAUUAUUUUCUAAUGUUCAUAUUGAACUAGUGUUGAAAUGAAAACGUAAUUUUUGUCUUAAAAUUUUCAUCAUCUUGAAAACUGUAAAGGAUCCAUUGAUUUUGAAUGGCCAUGAGAGAAAUGCUUAUGAUAAAUAGCAUAAAACUGUCAGAUAAAUGGUGAUUCAUCUCUUACUAUUUAUAUUCUAAUUCACUUAUAUAUUUUUGUCUUUUGGUGGGACCCAUACAUUCUAUAGAAAAUUUCCCAGGAACGAGAAAAAUUUGCUGAUGAAGGCAGUAUAUUUUACACCCUUGGAGAAUGUGGGCUCAUAUCCUUUUCAGACUACAUUUUCCUCACAACUGUUCUUUCCACUCCUCAGAGAAAUUUUGAAAUUGCCUUCAAGAUGUUUGAUUUGAAUGGAGAUGGAGAAGUAGAUAUGGAAGAAUUUGAACAG